AGCGAACGCUGGCGGCAGGCCUAACACAUGCAAGCCGAACGGACCUUUCGGGGUUAGUGGCGGACGGGUGAGUAACACGUGGGAACGUGCCUUUAGGUUCGGAAUAGCUCCUGGAAACGGGUGGUAAUGCCGAAUGUGCCCUUAGGGGGAAAGAUUUAUCGCCUUUAGAGCGGCCCGCGUCUGAUUAGCUAGUUGGUGAGGUAAUGGCUCACCAAGGCUACGAUCAGUAGCUGGUCUGAGAGGAUGACCAGCCACAUUGGGACUGAGACACGGCCCAAACUCCUACGGGAGGCAGCAGUGGGGAAUCUUGCGCAAUGGGCGAAAGCCUGACGCAACCAUGCCGCGUGGAUGAUGAAGGUCUUAGGAUUGUAAAAUCCUUUCACCGGUGAAGAUAAUGACUGUAGCCGGAGAAGAAGCCCGGCUAACUUCGUGCCAGCAGCCGCGGUAA
rnacentral:rRNA from 1 species